rnacentral:lncRNA from 1 species
AAAUUAUAACUUUUUGACUUAUAGUUUUUAAUUUAUACAAUUAUACCCAACAUUUUUAAAACUUUUUUAAAAAGUUUAUAAAUUAAAAAAAUCUCAAUAAAUUUAACUUUUUAAUAUAAAAUUAAUAUCAGUUUUUUUCAUAAUUUUUUAUUAUUUGAAAAGAAAUUAAUAUUCAAAAAAAUAUACAAAAUUUGAAUUAAUCAUAUUAUAUAAUUACAUUAGAGAAAAGUACAAAAUUUUAAAAAAUCAAAAAUACAUUUAAAAUAAAAUGAUAUUAUUUAUACAACAAUUAACAAACAAUAGAGAAAAAAAUCAAACCUAAUUUUUUUCUUCGUUACAUCAUUUUUUCACUUA